GGAAACGAAUGCUAAUACCGCAUAAGACCACAGUACCGCAUGGUACAGUGAUCAAAGGAUUUAUUCGCUGAAGGAUGGCUUCGCGUCCGAUUAGGUAGUUGGUGAGGUAACGGCCCACCAAGCCUACGAUCGGUAGCCGGACUGAGAGGUUGAUCGGCCACAUUGGGACUGAGACACGGCCCAGACUCCUACGGGAGGCAGCAUG
rnacentral:rRNA from 1 species